CGGGCGGUAGCUCAGCUUGGUAGAGCUUCCGGCUGUAGACCGGAGUGUCGCAGGUUCAAAUCCUGCCCGCCCGACCA
rnacentral:tRNA from 1 species